UUGCUUGGAACACAAGAAAUCAACAAAAGUUGAUUAUUCACUGAGUAAAUCGAUUGGGAAAUCGAUUUCAUAACAAGGGUGUAAGGAUAAGUAUAUGUUUGUGAUUGUAUAAUCGAUUGGGAAAUCGACUGACUAAAUUAGAAUUGAAAAUUGAACAAGUCAGUGGCAACCUGAUUUACAGGUUAAUCGAUUGACAAAUCGAUUGUACAUAUCACAAAAUGAAAACUGAUUGAAACUAAUCGACUGGCAAAUCGAUUGGGAAGUCACAGGGCACUAGGAAAUCGAUUGACAAAUCGAUUGCCUAAAUAAAAUUUCAAAAGGAACUUAAGCCUUGACUAAAACAAUCGAUUGGACAAUCUAUUGUGUGAGAUUUCAAUCAAGUUAAGUUUGGUUGCAAUCGAUUGGGAAAUCGAUUGAACUAAACANNNNNNNNNNNNNNNNNNNNNNNNNNNNNNNNNNNNNNNNNNNNNNNNAAUCGAUUGGGAAAUCGAUUGAACUAAACACCUGGUAAGAACUUUUCAGAAAACAAAUACCAAAUCGACUAGCACAUCGACUAACAUUAAAAUAGCUGAGUUACUGACUUAACCACAAUUGAUUGGCAAAUCGAUUGAAAGAACUUUUUGAAACACAAUCGAUUGGGGAAUCGAUUGAAACAAUGUUUUGAUAUCUCAGUAACUUCCCAGUUUGUGGCCAAAUCGAUUAUGCGUAUUUGUGAAUCGAUUUAUUCUGAAAAGUGCUUUAAAAGAAUCGAUUGGCAAAUCGAUUACACAUGUUUUAUAACUUUAAUAAAUCGAUUGGUGAAUCGAUUUAGUAGUUGUUUUUCUGAAACUAUAUAAACUGUCUUUCAAUCUUUUUCUCUAAGAACCUCGAUCAUAAUUUUCAUAUUUCUAAGAACUCAAGAUAACUUCAAUAACAAAUCACAAUACACUUUGCUAACAAUCUGAUAUUGCUCUUUCAGAUCAAGAUCAAAAGAUUAUCCAUAAUCAAUGAGAGAGCUGGAAAAGUGAUCUUGAGAGAAAAGACAAAGUUCUCAUGAACAAUCUUUGAAUAUCCAGAUUCGUGAGAAGACACUUUGAUCAAGAUUGAAGACUGCUUUUUGUACUUCUGUUAAUCUGUCUGUAACAAUACUUUGAAACGAAACGAAAGCGAGAAAUCCAGCUAGAAACUGGUGGCUACUUUCUUGGGUGAGAGGUCUCAACAAGAAAGAGUCGCACUGUGAUUCUGUGUUAGAUUGCCGAGUAUCUACAAGGAUCAGAGGGUGAUCAAUAGGAAAGAGAUCAUUAAGAUAGAUAGGUUUCGGGGAUGAAACUGGACAAUCUGUAAUUGAUUCUUUCUAUUGGAGAAGAAAAUCUGAAAUCCGUUUGGAUUUUCAGGACUGGAUGUAGGUUGUCAAGUUGACAACUGAACCAGUAUAAAUUCUUGGUGCAAUCUUCUCUAACCCUUAACUCCUUUAAUUUUCUAUCUUGAUAUAUUUGUAUAUGUGAUUAAUAUUAG
rnacentral:lncRNA from 1 species